UACGAAGGGGGCUAGCGUUGUUCGGAAUUACUGGGCGUAAAGGGCUCGUAGGCGGCCAACUAAGUCACACGUGAAAUCCCCAGGCUUAACCUGGGAACUGCGUGUGAUACUGGAUGGCUUGAAUUCGGGAGAGGGAUGCAGAAUUCCAGGUGUAGCGGUGAAAUGCGUAGAUAUCUGGAGGAAUACCGGUGGCGAAGGCGGCAUCCUGGACCGACAUUGACGCUGAUGAGCGAAAGCUAGGGGAGCAAACGGG
rnacentral:rRNA from 1 species